UAAGCGGAGGAAAAGAAACCAACAGGGAUUGCCCCAGUAACGGCGAGUGAAGCGGCAACAGCUCAAAUUUGAAAUCUGGCUCUCGGGCCCGAGUUGUAAUUUGUAGAGGAUGCUUUUGGUGAGGUGCCUUCCGAGUUCCCUGGAACGGGACGCCAUAGAGGGUGAGAGCCCCGUCUGGUUGGACACCGAUCCUCUGUAAAGCUCCUUCGACGAGUCGAGUAGUUUGGGAAUGCUGCUCUAAAUGGGAGGUAUAUGUCUUCUAAAGCUAAAUACCGGCCAGAGACCGAUAGCGCACAAGUAGAGUGAUCGAAAGAUGAAAAGAACUUUGAAAAGAGAGUUAAAAAGUACGUGAAAUUGUUGAAAGGGAAGCGCUUGUGACCAGACUUGGGCUUGGUUGAUCAUCCGGGGUUCUCCCCGGUGCACUCUUCCGGCUCAGGCCAGCAUCAGUUCGCCCUGGGGGAUAAAGGCUUCGGGAAUGUGGCUCUCUCCGGGGAGUGUUAUAGCCCGCUGCGUAA
rnacentral:rRNA from 1 species